GAUCAUGGCUCAGGAUGAACGCUGGCGGCGUGCUUAACACAUGCAAGUCGAACGGGAAAUAUUUUAUUGAAGCUUCGGUUGAUUUAAUUUAUUUCUAGUGGCGGACGGGUGAGUAACGCGUGGGUAACCUGCCUUAUACUGGGGGAUAACAGCCAGAAAUGACUGCUAAUACCGCAUAAGCGCACAGAACCGCAUGGUCCGGUGUGAAAAACUCCGGUGGUAUAAGAUGGACCCGCGUUGGAUUAG
rnacentral:rRNA from 1 species